rnacentral:lncRNA from 1 species
GUUCAAGACUUGCUCUUACUUGUAUCCUUCAGAGAGUGACAGCUAUCUUGUAUUCUAAUUUAAUAAAGUCCACUGGAAUGGAGGCAUCUAAUCACAAUGGAGUCAUAUCUGGUAAGCGUUUUAGACACAGAAAGCUGAGCAGAUUUGGCAGCUGAACACAGAAUGGAAAAGAGGGGCACCCAGUUUAAUUUAUUGUCAAUUAUUUUGAAGGAAAUGCUAGUUGAACUAAUUUAAUAAAUUGUAUUAGCACAGUUUCAUGUACUAGGAGAUAAGGUUUUUAUAUUUCAGAUCUAGAAGUUGUGAAUAAAAAAUUCACUGUGGGUUUGUGAAUUACUCUCAGCAAAUCAGCUUUAAAAUGUGCAGUUACAUGUGCUGUGGUGGCUUCAUAUGGUUUGAACUUAGGCAUCAUAAGUGUGAGAGAAGUCUAAGGCACUUUUUGAUAAAUAGGAAAUGCCUGUCUUACAUCAUGGGUUAUUGGAGCUAAAAUUCUUCCAGGACGUUAGAUUAGUCGUAGAAGUAAGUGACAGAGUCUCUGAGGAAAAGCGUUUGAAUAGGAUGAGAUGUGAUAGCGUAGGCUCCACUGUUCAUUCACCCUUUCAUCUAUUCAGUUAGCAUUUAUGUAGAUAGGUGCCAAAAAAGUGGGAGGACUGAGCUGGGUUAUUAAGCUGGAGGCUGAGGAUAAGGAAGACUACUGUGUUAAGUCCGACCAUAAAAAUUCUACAAUUUAAAAUUCAAAGUCACUGUCAAACAUGCUUUCUGAAUGCUCA